GGCUGGUCCAAUGGUAGUGGGUUAUCAGAACUUAUUAACAUUAGUGUCACUAAAGUUGGUAUUCAACCCCCCACUGCUAAAUUUGACUGGCUUUUA
rnacentral:Y_RNA from 1 species